UGAUAGGGGUGAUGGCUUGUUUGCCAGCUGUCUUUGAGGACAGAAAAGGAGGUGUCUUCCUUCCCUCUGCUCCAGAGAAAUAACUGCUGCAUAUGCUCAUUCUCCAGUCUCACUCAAUUCUGGUCACCAGUUUGAUUUCACACUGUUUGUCUAUUCCUCUGGCACUCCACUUGUUAGUGGAGAAUCUCUGUAGUACGCUAAAGACGAAGACUUUGGAGGAAUUUUAUAGAUACAGACUUCCAGCUGUCUCCUUGCUGGUGGCAGGGACAGCAGUGACCUCCUGGGUGGCCAGGUGGAGAAAUAUUGUCCACUCUUGCAAAUGAGGAGUGCCGCAGCUGUGCUACUGUGUCAAAAUAUGAAUGAAUGUCCGGCUGGCUUUGCAGAGAGGGGGAAGAAAGCGGGGACCUGUAAACCCCCCAUCAACUGGUUUAUUGGGAACAACUCUGGAGAGGAGUGAGACCCCGAAGGGCACUCAGCACAGGGUCAAACUAGCCAGACUCGAAGGAGAGGCGGGUAUCAUGCGGAAGCAUUUCUGUUUUGGUAUCUAGGAAGAGAACUGAAAAGGACUGUGGAAGAGAAAGAAAAGGAGAUGUGUCUGUUAAGUAGAGAAGAAUAAAUCACUCUGUAUCCGUGGACUGCUGCUCUCCAACAAGCUUCUAAACAUGCCUCGGGAAGGGAUCCAGAGGAGCAGGCACUGCAUUCGCAGGAUGCGCUCUGCUCUGUGAGCCUGCAGUGCACCACAGAAUACACCCAGUACGCGGGAGCAGCCUCACCAUGCCGUAUUUCCUCCUUGCCACACCGUUCUUGUUAUGGUUGUGCAGCAACAUAUGCUAAGGCCUUAUUACAAGGGAUUCCUAUAAAUGGCAUAAAGGAUUAAUAAUGUAUUUAUAACACAACUUUGUUUUAGUAUAAAGUGAUCUAUAAAUUUGUAAUAAAUGUUUUAUAAUGUUUUUGUAGCCUGUUAUAAAUGAUAAAUGGGAGACUAUAGAUGCCACAUCAAAUAUUCAUGCUGCAUUGUGUGCAUUAUUAUGCCGUUACUGUUCAGGAAACCAUUAAUAAUAAAGUGAAUGGAGAUGUAAAAGUUGCUGACAUGCCCAGCAAGCCAUUUAUAAUGAAAUGUAUAAUCCUUACCAUAAAGUAAAUACAUUGGCCAGUGAUUGUUGAUGAAAUGGAAACACACUGAAUUAUUUGUGAGGUAUUUAUAUAUUAAUGUAUAUUAUCCAUAUCAUGUCAUAGAAAUGCCAUUAAUAUAUUAUAUGUAUUAUUAAUUAUUUUUACCUAAUUUAGAGGCAGCUCUCAAAGCGUUACCUUGGCUCUCCUGCAGUUUUGUCAGCCGCAGGAGAUGUGGUGAGCUAUUUUACGGGACCCCUGUGCCGCGGGGCUACCGUAACGCAGCGGCCGCCGUUCUGGCUGCCGCGCCCGGCCA